UUACGGCCAUGACAUGUUGAAACACCGGUUUCCGUAUGAUCAUCGAAGUUAAGCAACGUCGAGCCUGGGUGGCGCCUAGAUGAGUGAUCGCUUGCGGAUACCAUGUGCUGUAU